AAAUUGAAGAGUUUGAUCAUGGCUCAGAUUGAACGCUGGCGGCAGGCCUAACACAUGCAAGUCGAACGGUAGCACAGAGAGCUUGCUCUCGGGUGACGAGUGGCGGACGGGUGAGUAAUGUCUGGGAAACUGCCUGAUGGAGGGGGAUAACUACUGGAAACGGUGGCUAAUACCGCAUAACGUCGCAAGACCAAAGAGGGGGACCUUCGGGCCUCUUGCCAUCAGAUGUGCCCAGAUGGGAUUAGCUGGUUGGUGAGGUAACGGCUCACCAAGGCGACGAUCCCUAGCUGGUCUGAGAGGAUGACCAGCCACACUGGAACUGAGACACGGUCCAGACUCCUACGGGAGGCAGCAGUGGGGAAUAUUGCACAAUGGGCGCAAGCCUGAUGCAGCCAUGCCGCGUGUAUGAAGAAGGCCU
rnacentral:rRNA from 1 species